rnacentral:rRNA from 1 species
UGGGGAAUAUUGGACAAUGGGCGCAAGCCUGAUCCAGCCAUGCCGCGUGAGUGAUGAAGGCCCUUAGGGUUGUAAAGCUCUUUCGCCGGUGAAGAUAAUGACGGUAACCGGAGAAGAAGCCCCGGCUAACUUCGUGCCAGCAGCCGCGGUAAUACGAAGGGGGCUAGCGUUGCUCGGAAUCACUGGGCGUAAAGCGCACGUAGGCGGAUCGUUAAGUCAGGGGUGAAAUCCUGGAGCUCAACUCCAGAACUGCCCUUGAUACUGGCGAUCUCGAGUUCGAGAGAGGUUGGUGGAACUCCGAGUGUAGAGGUGAAAUUCGUAGAUAUUCGGAAGAACACCAGUGGCGAAGGCGGCCAACUGGCUCGAUACUGACGCUGAGGUGCGAAAGCGUGGGGAGCAAAACAGGAUUAGAUACCCUGGUAGUCCACGCCGUAAACGAUGGAUGCUAGCCGUUGGGGGGUUUACCUCUCAGUGGCGCAGCUAACGCCUUAAGCAUCCCGCCUGGGGAGUACGGUCGCAAGAUUAAAACUCAAAGGAAUUGACGGGGUCAUAGCUG